rnacentral:rRNA from 1 species
AGUGAACGCUGGCGGUAGGCCUAACACAUGCAAGUCGAACGGCAGCACAGUAAGAGCUUGCUCUUACGGGUGGCGAGUGGCGGACGGGUGAGGAAUACAUCGGAAUCUAUUUUUUCGUGGGGGAUAACGUAGGGAAACUUACGCUAAUACCGCAUACGACCUACGGGUGAAAGCAGGGGAUCUUCGGACCUUGCGCGAUUGAAUGAGCCGAUGUCGGAUUAGCUAGUUGGCGGGGUAAAGGCCCACCAAGGCGACGAUCCGUAGCUGGUCUGAGAGGAUGAUCAGCCACACUGGAACUGAGACACGGUCCAGACUCCUACGGGAGGAAGCAGUGGGGAAUAUUGGACAAUGGGCGCAAGCCUGAUCCAGCCAUACCGCGUGGGUGAAGAAGGCCUUCGGGUUGUAAAGCCCUUUUGUUGGGAAAGAAAAGCAGCAGGUUAAUACCCCGCUGUUCUGACGGUACACAAAGAAUAAGCACCGGCUAACUUCGUG